CCCUUAACUAUUAAAAGUUUCGUUUUGGUCCCUUAACUUAUUUUUUGGUUUCGUUUUGGUCCCUUAACUCUUCCUCCGUCAACCACUUUGGUCCUUUAUGUUAGGAUGAAUGUAUUAUAUUUAAGGACCAAAAUGAAAUCUAAAAAUUAGUUAAGUGACCAAAACGAAACCAAAGAAUAAGUUAAGGGACCAAAACGAAACUUUCAAUAGUUAAGGGACCAAAACAAAACCAAAAAAUAAGUUAAGGGACCAAAACGAAACUUUUAAUAGGUAAGGGA
rnacentral:pre_miRNA from 1 species